rnacentral:tRNA from 1 species
UCUCGUUUAGCUCAGUCGGUAGAGCAUUCGCUCGAUAAGCGAAAAGUCCAUGGUUCAAGUCCAUGAACGAGAACCA